GGUUCUAUGGUGUAGUGGUAGCACUUUGGAUUCUGAUUCCAACAACCUGGGUUCGAUCCCCAGUAGGACCU
rfam:Xylona heveae TC161 unplaced genomic scaffold L228scaffold_10, whole genome shotgun sequence.